rnacentral:rRNA from 1 species
GAUGAACGCUGGCGGCAGGCCUAACACAUGCAAGUCGAGCGGUAACACAGGGAGCUUGCUCCUGGGUGACGAGCGGCGGACGGGUGAGUAAUGUCUGGGAAACUGCCUGAUGGAGGGGGAUAACUACUGGAAACGGUAGCUAAUACCGCAUAACGUCGCAAGACCAAAGAGGGGGACCUUCGGGCCUCUUGCCAUCAGAUGUGCCCAGAUGGGAUUAGCUAGUAGGUGGGGUAACGGCUCACCUAGGCGACGAUCCCUAGCUGGUCUGAGAGGAUGACCAGCCACACUGGAACUGAGACACGGUCCAGACUCCUACGGGAGGCAGCAGUGGGGAAUAUUGCACAAUGGGCGCAAGCCUGAUGCAGCCAUGCCGCGUGUAUGAAGAAGGCCUUCGGGUUGUAAAGUACUUUCAGCGGGGAGGAAGGUGUUGAGGUUAAUAACCUCAGCAAUUGACGUUACCCGCUGAAGAAGCACCGGCUAACUCCGUGCCAGCCGCCGCAGUAA